UUGAAACUCUUUCACUUACACAUGACGGUGUAUACAAUAUUAUUUCUGUUAGCUUUUAAGUAACCUGGUUUUCCACCAUGAAUCCUCAAUUAAGUCCCCCAUCUACCAUACAUACUGUCAGCUUCAAUUAAACCCUUACUUACAUGAGAGAAGACGACUUACGUACCUGACCACUGCAACUCGUCGUCCAGCAUUCAAUUUGUGUAUCUGCUGUAAAUAAAUGUAACCUCCUACCCCUCCCUCCCUGCCUUCAAUCCUCCAAUUACCUUACCAUCUGCCCCCUUAUAUAUCUACCAAUUGCCGAUUCCCACUCCCCAUCUCUGUCUAUUAUAAGGAAUUCUUAACAGUUAAAGAGAUCAUGCAGAUUCUUAACAGUUGCUGCUGCUGUCGCCGACGCCAGACAGAUUCCGUCGUCCAAUUUCUAUCCACCGUCAGUUGCAUCGACGGCGAAGUUUUGUUCAGCAGUAUGGAGCUCCACUCUACAAUGAUAUGAUGUUGCACUCUGCAACGAAAAGCAUACAACUUUUUAAGACACUAAUAUGUGGUACAAGUGGACUAUACUACUUUCAUAAAAAGGGUACCUGGGUAUACGUGCACGGUUGGCCACUACUUUGAAGAAGUGUGGGACCAGCGUGACACACCUUAUUGCAUGUGUUAUGCAGCGGCACAAAUGGUGACGAUUCUUUAUCGUAUACAUAAACCGGAAGAGUGCAAAAGUCUUAUUUUAUCACCUCAAACUUUGCUUAAUCUUGGUUGUCAAUAUGUAGAUAGACUUAGAGUCUUUCUUACUGAAAGCAAGUAUGGACUAUAUGACAUUGAAGCUCAACCAUUCCAUUAUCUCCGCGUGGAAAAAUAUGAAUCAUUAGCUAAGUCCGACAAACCAUACUUGAUCAAAGAUUUGGCGAUAUAUCGUACAAAGGAAACAAUCCUAAAAGCCCUUAUAAGUAAUUUUCGUGAAGUUGGGCCACAAUACCCAAUGCUAGGGGCAUGCAACAUGCAUGGACUUACAACUGCUAAGGCGGCGGAUACAACUUCGGAGAAACCGUUUAUUAGAAAAGAGCCUCGACUGAAAAAUAAUUAUCCCCCUGAUCAUUUCGUGUUCAUCACGGGAAUCCAUGUUACAUCUGUAAAUUCUACACGCGUGAAUGUACAGUUAAGAAACUCGUGGGGCGAUUGAGGAUUUAAAGGAACUGCAUGGGCGGGAGUGACUUUUUCGAAGAGGCUUAUGUACCAAGUAUUUGAGGAGGUUGAUUUCUUUUAACUGAUGUUUAUUUUGUUUAAAGUAGACUUAGUUCUCGAUUUUAGUUAUUGUUUACAGACGUUGUGUAAUGCAUUAGCAAAUCCCGCUGAUCAUUCCGUGCUCAUCACGGGAAUCUAUGUUGUAUCUGUGAAUCCUACACACGUGAAUGUACAGUUAAGGAACCUCAUGGGGCGAUUGGGGAUUUAAAGGAACUGCAUGUGCGAGAGUGACUUUUUCGAAGAGGCUUAUCUACCAAGUAUUUGAGGAGGUUGAUUUCUUUUAACUGAUGUUUAUUUUGUUUAAAGUAGAGUUAGUUCUCGAUUUUAGUUAAUGUUUACAGACAUUAUGUAAAUGCAUUAGCAAAGUUGGUGCUUCCUUUGUAAUGGGUUUGUUUAUUUUGUUCAUGUUGGUGCUAUUUGUUUUCCUUUUGUUUGUAAUGCUACUAGCUUUCCUUGCUCGUUUUACAUAAAUUACUGUUCAAAAAAUGUUUCCUUC